rnacentral:rRNA from 1 species
GAGCACGUAGGUGGGUUUGUAAGUCAGAUGUGAAAGCCUUCUGUUCAACGGAAGAAUUGCAUCUGAAACUGCUAAUCUUGAGUAUAGGAGGGGAGAAUGGAACUUCUGGUGGAGCGGUGAAAUGCGUAGAUAUCAGAAGGAACGCCGGCGGCGAAAGCGAUUCUCUGGCCUAUUACUGACACUCAGUGUGCGAAAGCUAGGGGAGCAAACGGGAUUAGAUACCCCGGUAGUCCUAGCCGUAAACGAUGGGCACUAAGUAGAGGGGUUUUAA